rnacentral:rRNA from 1 species
GUUUGAUCAUGGCUCAGAUUGAACGCUGGCGGAAUGCUUUACACAUGCAAGUCGAGCGGCAGCGCGGGGCAACCUGGCGGCGAGCGGCGAACGGGUGAGUAACAUAUCGGAACGUAUCCUUGAGUGGGGGACAACCCGUCGAAAGACAGGCUAAUACCGCAUACGCUCGAGAGAGGAAAGUGGGGGACCGCAAGGCCUCACGCUGAAGGAGCGGCCGAUAUUCGAUUAGCUAGUUGGUGAGGUAAAGGCUCACCAAGGCGACGAUCGAUAGCUGGUCUGAGAGGAUGAUCAGCCACACUGGAACUGAGACACGGUCCAGACUCCUACGGGAGGCAGCAGUGGGGAAUUUUGGACAAUGGGGGCAACCCUGAUCCAGCCAUUCCGCGUGAGUGAAGAAGGCCUUCGGGUUGUAAAGCUCUUUUGUUCGGGACGAAACGGUUACGGGUAAUAUCCGUGACUACUGACGGUACCGGAAGAAUAAGCACCGGCUAACUACGUGCCAGCAGCCGCGGUAAUACGUAGGGUGCGAGCGUUAAUCGGAAUUACUGGGCGUAAAGCGUGCGCAGGCGGUUAUGCAAGCCAGAUGUGAAAUCCCCGGGCUCAACCCUGGGAAUGGCAUUUGGGACUGCAUAGCUAGAGUUGC